GGCCGCGUGGCCUAAUGGCUAAGGCGCUAGAUUUCGGUUCACCGAUGUCACCAAUUCUCUAGAGAUUCCAGGUUAGUUCUACGUAACACCAAUCAUAUCUGCCCAACUAACAAUUGCCAUAGGUUCGACUCCUGGCGUGGUCG